rnacentral:rRNA from 1 species
CCUACGGGAGGCAGCAGUGGGGAAUAUUGGACAAUGGGCGCAAGCCUGAUCCAGCCAUGCCGCGUGUGUGAAGAAGGCCUUCGGGUUGUAAAGCACUUUUAUCCGGAAAGAAAAGCUUUGGGUUAAUACCCUGAAGUCAUGACGGUACCGGAAGAAUAAGCACCGGCUAACUUCGUGCCAGCAGCCGCGGUAAUACGAAGGGUGCAAGCGUUACUCGGAAUUACUGGGCGUAAAGCGUGCGUAGGUGGUUUGUUAAGUCUGAUGUGAAAGCCCUAGGCUCAACCUGGGAAUUGCAUUGGAUACUGGCAGGCUAGAGUGCGGUAGAGGAUAGUGGAAUUCCCGGUGUAGCAGUGAAAUGCGUAGAGAUCGGGAGGAACAUCUGUGGCGAAGGCGACUAUCUGGGCCAGCACUGACACUGAGGCACGAAAGCGUGGGGAGCAAACAGGAUUAGAUACCCUGGUAGUCCACGCCCUAAACGAUGCGAACUGGAUGUUGGGUGCAACUAGGCACUCAGAGUAGAGACGACGACGUUAGUUCGCCGUCCGUGGGUAGGUUACGGUUCGUCGAAGACGUAGAAACGUUAAAAGGUUAAGUUAGGACGGGCGUUGGAGACGUUGACCGACGGACGACGACGAGGGAGGAGG